AAGUCACCCAGUAAAAUAUUACUUGAGUAAGUCUAAAAGUAUUUGUUUCUAAAGUAUCAAAAGUCAAAGUAUAAAUCGUUUCUAAUUACUUAUAUUAAGCAAACCAGACAGAAAAAUGUUCUUGUUUUUAUUUAUUUAUUUAUCGAUUUCCAGGGGCACACUCCAACACUCAGACAUUAUUUACAAAGGAAGCAUUUGUGUUUAGUGAGUUCGCCAGAUCAGAGGCAAUAGGGAUGACCAGGGGUAUUUUCUUGAUAAGUACGUCAAUUGGACCAUUACAUUGAAACAGCUUUAAUAACUUUUAUAUGAGACACCUUUUAUUAUUAAUAUUAUCCUCGAUUAUCAUGUAUGGCUUGAUGAUGACUAAGUAGAACAAAAGUCACAUUUUAUAUUCCAAUAAAUAAUGAACCAACGCUAUACUUAGUCAAAUGUGUAUUUUAUUAAAGAAGAAUACAGUUGGUAUAACGGUCUACAUACCUAUUGAGGUGUUGUUUGGGCACAUGCAGCUUAUAAUGUCAUUACUGACCCAGUAAUCAGAUGUAGCUCUACUUUGAUCACACAGACCUUACACUGAGAACUGGGUGAGCAGUGGACAUCUUGGUGUGAGUGACCCAUGUUGAGUCCAGAUCCAUCUUGAAGAUGACCACAAUGGAAACAAACCUACCUGCUGGUUUGUGUGGACCUGUCUCCACUGAACCCCUCGUUUGGUGCCUCUCAGCAGCACUGCCUAUCGCUCCACAUCCUUCCUGCUUCACUAGACCCUGAAUUCUAAGAAUCAGAUGAAAAAGGUUACUUCCUUGGUUGCAGAAGAGAGUAGUUUAAACAUUGAGUUGCCUUAUGUUUGUGAUGUCAGGGAGGACAGGUUCCUUUGGGUCGCCUUAAAAAGUGUGUGUGACAGAGGAGGGGACAGCUGUCACAUUCGAUCAAAUUUCCCCUGGGUCUCUCCCGGCACCUGGAUGGGAAUCAUGAAUUAGUCACUUUUUAGGUACUGUCCCUACAGCCAAUUCUUACAGCUCUUUGACGCACUCUUACGCUCAAUAUUUACAUAACUUGUGUGUCGUUAUCAGUAUAAUAACAACAUUUUCUUUCAAACAUUAGCAGGAUUAAUAUUUCUGUCAAGAUAAGAGAACAGUAUUUAAUUUGACAUCUACGGAUUGUGUAUGACUUCUGAUUUUAGUGCUUUUUCAAAAUGAUCUUCUGUCUUUUUAUUCCAUAUGAACAGCAUAAAACAGAAAAUGUAUCAUGCUAGCGAAAGUUUUCCUUUUGUUUUCUGACCUCUCUUGCAACUACGGUGUCAGAGCCAUGUUAAAAAUAAAAAGAGGAUUUGGUCAUAUGA